GACGAACGCUGGCGGCGUGCUUAACACAUGCAAGUCGAACGGAAAGGCCCUGCUUUUGUGGGGUGCUCGAGUGGCGAACGGGUGAGUAACACGUGAGUAACCUGCCCUUGACUUUGGGAUAACUUCAGGAAACUGGGGCUAAUACCGGAGAGGAGCUCCUGCUGCAUGGUGGGGGUUGGAAAGUUUCGGCGGUUGGGGAUGGACUCGCGGCUUAUCAGCUGGUUGGUGGGGUAGUGGCUUACCAAGGCUUCGACGGGUAGCCGGCCUGAGAGGGUGACCGGGCACCAUGGGACUAAGAUACGGACCAGACUCGUACGGGAGGCAGCAGUGGGGAAUAUUGCACAAUGGGCGGAAGCCUGAUGCAGAAACGCCGCGUGCGGGAUGACGGCCUUCGGGUUGUGAACCGCUUUCGCCUGUGACGAAGCGUGAGUGACGGUAAUGGGUAAAGAAGCACCGGCUAACUACGUG
rnacentral:rRNA from 1 species